rnacentral:rRNA from 1 species
AUUGAACGCUGGCGGCAUGCCUUACACAUGCAAGUCGAACGGCAGCACGGGAGCAAUCCUGGUGGCGAGUGGCGAACGGGUGAGUAAUGUAUCGGAACGUACCUUUCAGUGGGGGAUAACGUAGCGAAAGUUACGCUAAUACCGCAUAUUCUGUGAGCAGGAAAGCAGGGGAUCGCAAGACCUUGCACUGAUUGAGCGGCCGAUAUCAGAUUAGCUAGUUGGUGAGGUAAAGGCUCACCAAGGCGACGAUCUGUAGCGGGUCUGAGAGGAUGAUCCGCCACACUGGAACUGAGACACGGUCCAGACUCCUACGGGAGGCAGCAGUGGGGAAUUUUGGACAAUGGGCGCAAGCCUGAUCCAGCCAUGCCGCGUGAGUGAAGAAGGCCUCGGUU